rnacentral:rRNA from 1 species
AGCAGCCGCGGUAAUUCCAGCUCCAAUAGCGUAUAUUAAAGUUGCUGCAGUUAAAAAGCUCGUAGUUGAAUUUCGGGAUCAAUAUGUUGGUCGUGCCUUGGUACGUACUAGCUUAUUGGUUUCUCCCUUCUGACGAACCAUGAUGUCAUUAAUUUGGUGUCAUGUGGAAUCAGGACUGUUACUUUGAAAAAAUUGAGUGUUUAAAGCAGGCUCACGCUUGAAUACAUUAGCAUGGAAUAAUGAAAUAGGACGUUUGAUUCUAUUUUGUUGGUUUCUAGGAUCGACGUAAUGAUUAAUAGGGAUAGUUGGGGCAUUAGUAUUCAAUUGUCAGAGGUGAAA